rnacentral:rRNA from 1 species
CCUGGCGGCGAUAGCGCGGUGGUCCCACCUGACCCCUUGCCGAACUCAGAAGUGAAACGCCGUAGCGCCGAUGGUAGUGUGGGGCUUCCCCA